UACGAAGGGGGCUAGCGUUACUCGGAUUGACUGGGCGUAAAGGGCGCGUAGGCGGAUGGUACAGUCAGACGUGAAAUUCCUGGGCUCAACCUGGGGGCUGCGUUUGAUACGUGCUGUCUGGAGUUCGGAAGAGGGUCGUGGAAUUCCCAGUGUAGAGGUGAAAUUCGUAGAUAUUGGGAAGAACACCGGUGGCGAAGGCGGCGACCUGGUCCGAUACUGACGCUGAGGCGCGAAAGCGUGGGGAGCAAACAGG
rnacentral:rRNA from 1 species